rnacentral:rRNA from 1 species
AUGAUCCUGCCGUGUCUGCCGCUGGAGCUGGUGGCGGCGCACAUCCUGCUCCGUCUCCCCGUCGAGACGCUGCUGCGGUUCAGGUGUGUCUGCAAGGCAUGGCGCGACAUGGUCGACGACGCCUCAUUCCGCCGCGCGCACCUCCGCCGGCAGAAACCUUGCCUGCUCAUCUCGCCGCAGAUCGUAAAGACUUUACCAGGGGAGGUGACCACCGGAGGCUUAUACCUGUGGGUGUGGGAGGAGAGCCAGAAGAAGGAGGCCACCCUCGUGCACGCCAUGUCGGGCCCUUCCUUCCUCCCCCGCGCUGCCGCCGGUCCAUGGGAGGUGGCGGCGCACGACCUGGCGCACUGCGACGGCCUGGUCCUGGUGCCCGCCUACUCGGCGGUGCACCUGCUCAACCCGGCCACGCGGCGCGCCGUCACGCUGCCCCCGAGCCUGCACCGCCCUCACGUCGUCGGCAGGCCGCGUGCUAUAGGCCACCAGGCCUUGGGCCUCGGCCUUGACCCUCGCUCCAACGCCUACAAGGUCGCUCGCUUCUCCUACCGCUCGUCGGACAAGCCCUCCGGCCGAAAAUACACCAUGGGGAUGGAGGUGCUGACCAUCCGAAUCCCAACGGUGGACCAUCAUCCACCACACUACUGGCGUGAGACGUCAACACCACCGCCGUACCCCGUCAUGCCGGGUCGAACAGCCACCUUCUUCAAGGGCUCCUUGUUCUGGACCAUCGAUGAGUCGCUGUUCCAAGACGCGACGACAACGGUCGCCCCCGGGUUCAUGCGCUUCAGGCUGGACGACGAGUCGUUCGGCGUCACGCCGCCCCCGCCCUGCCGCCGGAGGAUCGACUAUCAGGCGACCACCUUAUCGGAGCUGUCCGGCGAGCUGUGCCUGUGCGUGCCCCAAGAGUUUGUGCCCGACCAAGUCGACGAGUCGUACGAGCUGUGGGUGUGCCACGGCAUGGACAUGGAUGAUGAACAAGGACAAGGUCCACGGUGGGAGCGUCGUCACGUCAUCGUCGGGUACCCCGUUUUUCAAGGCUUGAGAGGCCUUCGUCCAAUGGCGGCGUCCAAUGACUCCAUAUUGCUCUAUGGCGGGACGUGCCCCUGUCUCUGCCGCUGUGAUCGCCGGACUCAAGAAACUACCUCUAGGUUUUAUGCCGAUGUCCACCAUCUCAGGUAUCACCACCCGGAUACCGGCACGCUAGUUGAGUACAAAAAAAACGUAUGUGACUUCAACAUCACCCCCUACACUCCAAGCCUGGUUCCGCUCUAG